rnacentral:tRNA from 1 species
AUCCUUGUGGCGGAACGGCAGACGCAGACGGCUCAGAACCGUAAAGUUGGAGGUUCGAAUCCUCUCAGGGAUACCA